UCAUUCCUGGAAAGUAACCACAGUACACACAAGACAAGUAACUGCCCUAGAUUGUAAAUUCUGAGGUGGACCUCUUUCUUAACGUCCAGUGUCCUUUGUCUUAAGAUUUGGUGCAAUAUGU